AAUACACAUAAAAUUUAAUGUUUUAUGUGGCAUCACAUUUACAGUACAUUCACAGUGUUGUGCAAUCAUUAUCUCUCUUCAGUUCUAGAAGUUUUUCAUCAUUCCAGAUGGAAAAACUCUGUGCCAUUAAGAAGUCACUCUUCAUUGCUCCCUGCUCCCACUGGCACCUGCUAAUAUGGUCUCUAUUACUACGGAUUUUACCUAUUCUGGAUACUUCAUAUAAAUUGAAUCAUACAGUAUGUGUUUCAUUUUGUCUUACUUCUUUCAUUUAGUAUGAUGUUUUCAAAGUUUGUCUAUGUUAUAAAAUAUAUCUGUACUUUAUGAAUAAUAUUCCAUUGCAUGGAUGUACAACAUUCUGUUUAUCCAUGUAUUCAUUGAGAGACAUUUGAAUUAUUUCCACUUUUUGGCUAUUGUAUGUAGUACAUCUAUGAGCAUAUUUAUUCAAUGUUUUGUUUGAACACCUGUUUUCAGUUAUUUUGGGCAUAUACCUAAGUCAUGUGGUAAUUCUGUUUCACUUGUUGAGAAAUGACCAAAUUCUUUUUCACAGUAGCCGCACCAUUUUAGCAAUGUAUGGGAUUUUCUCUACACCUUUACUAAUGCUUAUUACUACCUGUCUUCUUUGUUGUUGUUAUUAUAGCCAUCCUAGUAGGCAUGAAGUGAUGUCACAUUGUGGCUUAAAUUUGCACUUUUUUGUUGGUACUGGUGAUUAAACCUAGGGGCACUUAAACACUGAGUUACAGCUCCAGUCCAUUUAUUUUGAGACAGGGUCUCACUAAGUUAUUGAGGGCCUCCCUAAAUUGCUGAGGCUGGUCUUGAAUUUGCAGUCCUCCUGCCUCAGGCUCCUGAGUCACUGGGAUUACAGUAUUUGUACCACUGUGCUUGGCAGAUUUGCAUUUUUUGACAGUUAAUGAUAUUAAACAUCUUUUCAUAUGCUUCUUGCCCUUUUGCAUACUUCUGUAGAGUAAUGUCAAAUGGAAUCUUUGCUCUUUUAAAAGUUGGCUUAUCUUUUUGUUGUUGAGUUGUAGUCAUUUUUUUAAUAUAUUUGAGAUACUAGAUACUUAUCAAAUAGAUGAUUUGCAAAUAUUUUCUCUCAUUCUCUGGUUUGUAUUUUCACUUUCCCAAUUUCUGGGGUUUUUUUUGUGUGUGACAGCCUUGUUGAGAUAGAAUCAAUAUGCCAUACAUUUCAAACACUUAAAUUUUGUGAUUUUAAUCUUUUUUAGUAUAUUCAGUCAUGCAUCUGUCACCACAAUAAAUUUCUAAACAUUUUCAUCACCCCCAAAAGAAAUCUUGUAUAUUUUGCAAUUAAUCCCCACUGAAUUUUUCAAGGUAGAUUUUGCUUGAUGUAUUUGUAGUUGACCUUUAGAGGAGCUGAGUUCUGUAGUCAGGCUGAGAAACAAGUUUAUGGUAAAAGUUUACACUCUAUAAUACAGAUAAGAUAGCUUUCCUGGUAUAAAUGCAGUUAUAGAGUGCUCGGAAAUGAUCCUCUGAGAUAUUGCUUUAUAAAAACAAUAAUAACCUUGUAUUUACAUUUCUUAAGGGAUCCACACCCUGAUUAAUGCCUAUGGAGGCCAAAUAUAUACACACUAAAAGCACUUUCAUAAGGCCAAUUCAUUCCAGGUAGAUUGUUUUGUAAAAGGAUUAUUCUCAUUUGUAUUUGUAUUGACUUCCUUUUUUUUAUUCAUAUUGACUUCUAAUGCUUCUUUCAAUUUUUAAAUUCAUUCAGGAAAGUAAUAAACUGAAAGGAGAUUGAGAGCCCCUUAAUUCUAAAUUUGUUAUUCACUAUUAGUAAAGUUGGAGUCACCAACAUUGCAACACAGCUAUCCAAAAGGCUCCAAUGGGCAGUUUUCAAUUGAGCCUUACAGAUGCCGGUAUCUGUGUGGCAUUUUGAAUACUAGGAUCUGAUCCAUCAUUUUAUAUGUCCAGAAACUCAAUAUCAAUCUUAUCAUUUUAUCCAAAGUUGAUCAGAUUCAGAGCUAACUUGAAUUCUAUAUCUAAUAGACCAAAAAUACUAUCAUAUUAAUUAAUGUCUCUUAAAUAUAUGUAGCAUUUUUCUUUGUUUUUUGUUUGUUUGUAUCAUGGAUUGAAUCCAGGGGCACUUAACCUCUGAGCCACAUCCCCAGACCUUUUUUGUUAUUUUAUUUAGAGACAAAGUCUUGCUGAAUUACUUAGGGCCUUGUUAAGUUGCUGAGGCUGACUUUGAACGCAAGAUCCUCCUGCCUCAGCCUCCCAAACCACUGGGAUUGCAGGUGUGCACCACUGCACCUGGCUUUCUUUCUUUAUUUUUCAAGAAUGAUUAAAAAAAUUUUUAGUUAUAGAUGGACACAAUAUCUUUAUUUUUAUUUAUUUUUAUGUGUUACUUAGGAUCAAAUCCAGUGCCACACUGCAAACACUCCACCACUAUGCUAUAACCCUAGCCCUCUUUGUUUUAAUAACCCCACUUUUUUCUAAUUAAAUGCAACACAGGUUUGGUGAAAAUGCAGCUUGAGAAACAAAAUGAUUAAAAAUACAAACUGCACCAGGUGUAGUAGUGGCACAUGCCUAUUAUCCCAGAUCCUCAGGAGGCUGAGGCAGGAAGAUUGCAAGUUUGAGGCCAGUUUGGGCAACUUAGCAAGACCCUGUCUCAAAAUUAAAAUGAAAAGAGCUGGGGUUCAGCUCAGCAGUACAGCGCUAUAUAUGGUAAACAAACAAACAAAAAACACUGCAAUUAUAUUCCUAAUUAUGUAUCUAAAAGAAUUAAAGCAAGGACUCAGAUACUUAUACAUGCAUAUUUAUAACAUCAUUCAUGAUGGCCAAAAAGUGGAGGUUGCCCAAAUGUCCAUGACAAAAUGAAUAGAUAAACAAAAUAUAGCAUACACAUGCAACAGAAUACUAUUCAGCCUUAAAAAGGAAGGAAAUUCUGACAUAUGCUAAAACAUAGAUGAACCUCAAGGACAUUAUACUAAGUGAAAUAAACUAGACCCUUUUAAUCUGUUCUGUUCUUUUCUCUAAAACCUUUAUGAUUUUGGCCUACGUUUUCUUUUCCAGGUGACCAGAACAAUGUUGAAAGGAAGAAAGGAAGCUAUAGUAACAUGCAAAGCAGAUCUGUCUUUAGGAAAUAGUCUGCUUGGAUCCAGAUUCAAGAGUUGGAUCUUUUCAUUCAACUUACAUUUUAUGGGUACCAUCAUGUGUCACUUACCCAAGGUAUACAUUCUGAAAACUUCAUCAUCGGGUAUCACUGUUAUGAACAUCAUAGAGUAUACUCACACAAACUUACAUGGUAUAGCCUACAACAAAUCUAGGAUAUGGCAUAUACCAUCAUGUAUGCAUUGACUAAACCAUAGUUAUUGGCUCAUGGUGGUACUUUUGCCAAGUAUUUUUUGAGAUUAGGAUAAGAGUUGAAUAAGAUUUAGUCCCCGCCCUGGAAGAGUUCAUAUUUUUGUGAGAAAUACAAAUAUAUAAACAAAUAAUUACCAUAUUAAACAUUGUAAGUACUAGAAUAGAGGUAUUCUAGAAACAUAUGUGAGCCUAAAGUAUCAGAAAAAAAUCCUCAUGGAUAGAAUAUUUGAGCUAAAUAUUGAAGCAUAAGGAGAAAUUUACUAGGCAGACAUUAGAAAGAAUGCCAUGAGGAAGGGUAGAGAAGGAAAAGAAACAUGAAUUAUUUGGAAACCAUCAGAAAGUUUCCCCUAAUUAUAAUGGUACAUGUAUGAUGAUGAAAUUGUAAAGGUAGAAUGACAUUAUAAAAAAUCAUGGAGUUUGGGUUUUAUCGUGUUAAUUACAAACUUCACUUACUCAUAUUCUUUUUUCUUUAAAUACAUGACAAUAGUGGAAUGCAUUACACUCAUUAUUGCCCAUGUACAGCACAAUUUUUUGUAACUCCGUAUAUAAAGUAUGUUCACACCAAAUUAUGCCAUUAUACAUGUACUCUUUUUUUUUUUUGCAUUGAAAUUCUUUUUUUUAAAUAUUUAUUUUUUAGGUGUAGAUGAACACAACACAAUGCCUUUAUUUUUAUGUGGUGCUGAGGAUGGAACCCAGGUCCCGCCCAUGCUAGGCGAGCGCUCUACCACUGAGCCACAAUCCCAGCCUCUGCAUUACAAUUCUUAAUACACAUAUAUACCACAAUUUUUCAUAUGUCUGUUUAUAUAUAAGGUAUGUUGACACCAAAUUCAGAUCUUUAUACAUGUAUUUUGUAUAAUGAUGACCCUCACAUUCCACCAUCCUUGCUAUUUUAGUUGUAUAUGAACACAAUGCCUUUGCUUAUUUAUUUUUAUGUGAUGCUAAGGAUUGAACCCCGUUCCCCACAUGUGCUAGGCAAGUGCUCUACCACUGAGCUGCAACCUCAGGCCUUACUUCUCAUAUUCUAUCUUCAACAUUUUAAUGUCUAAAAAUUAGGCAAUAGUAUCUUUGAAUUCAUGUGUUUUAUGAUGUGU
rnacentral:lncRNA from 1 species